rnacentral:lncRNA from 1 species
CAGCAAUCUGCACGGCUGCCUCUGCCCGCAGAAGCCUGGGCAGGAUUGUGUUUCUCAGCUGAAUCUGCACACUGGUGACACAUUGUCCAAGCUACGCCCUGGCCAUGGCUUGCCAAGAGUUCUCUUCUCCCUUAUGGAAACAAAGCAUCUCCCAAAUGCAUUUCUAUGGUCACCACCAGAGGUCAAAGAGUAACAGCAGCAACGACAUGCCCGGAGCUCCCACAGUGGAUGUGCUGUCUGUACCCGCUCCUGCUGCACCGUCACCUUGCAGGCUCCUCCUGCUUUUCUGGGUCUUCCAGGCUGGACUCCUCUCCUCCAGUCCUUGGUGA